AGUGAACGCUGGCGGUAGACCUAACACAUGCAAGUCGAACGGCAGCACAGUAAGAGCUUGCUCUUACGGGUGGCGAGUGGCGGACGGGUGAGGAAUACAUCGGAAUCUACUAUUUCUUGGGUGAUAACGUAGGGAAACUUACGCUAAUACCUCAUACGACCUACGGGUGAAAGCAGUGGUUCAUCGGACCUUGCGCGAUUCAAUUAGCCGAUUUCGGAUUAGCUAGUUGGCGAGGUAACGGCCCACCAAGGCGACGAUCCGUAGCGGGCCUGAGAGGGUGAUCGGCCACACUGGAACUGAGACACGGUCCAGACUCCUACGGGAGGCAGCAGUGGGGAAUAUUGGGCAAUGGGCGCAAGCCUGAUCCAGCCAUACCGCGUGGGUGAUGAAGGCCUUCGGGUUGUAAAGCCCUUUUGUUGGGAAAGAAAAGCAGCAGAUUAAACCCCCGCUGUUCUGACGGUACCCAAAGAAUAAGCACCGGCUAACUUCGUG
rnacentral:rRNA from 1 species